rnacentral:rRNA from 1 species
UACAGAGGUGGCAAGCGUUGUUCGGAAUUACUGGGCGUAAAGGGCGCGUAGGCGGUUCGUUAAGUCCUGUGUGAAAUCCCCCGGCUCAACUGGGGAAUUGCACAGGAAACUAGCGGGCUUGAGUUCGGGAGAGGGAAGCGGAAUUCCGGGUGUAGCGGUGAAAUGCGUAGAUAUCCGGAGGAACACCGGUGGCGAAGGCGGCUUCCUGGACCGACACUGACGCUGAGGCGCGAAAGCUAGGGGAGCAAAC